rnacentral:rRNA from 1 species
UGGGGAAUCUUGCGCAAUGGAGGAAACUCUGACGCAGCUACGCCGCGUGCAGGAAGACACCCCUAUGGGGCGUAAACUGCUUUUCUGCGAGAAGAAGGCCGCUCCCCUCGCGGGGAGGGUUUGACGGUACCGCAGGAAUAAGGACCGGCUAACUCCGUGCCAGCAGCCGCGGUAAUACGGAGGGUCCAAGCGUUGUCCGGAAUCACUGGGUGUAAAGGGUGUGCAGGCGGACUGUCAAGUCAGUGGUGAAAGCCCGCAGCUCAACUGCGGAAGUGCCAUUGAAACUGGCAGUCUUGAGUCCCGGAGGGGUUAUCGGAAUUCGUGGUGUAGCGGUGAAAUGCGUAGAUAUCACGAGGAACACCAGAAGCGUAAGCGGAUAACCGGACGGUGACUGACGCUCAGGCACGAAAGCGUGGGGAGCAAACAGGAUUAGAUACCCGCGUAGUCC